CCACCUGCUGGGCUGGAGCUGGAGCUGGAGCUGCGAAUUCGGAGUCCCGGUUCCCUGUGCCACCUGGCGAGCUCAGCAAACUAAAAGUCUCUUUGUCUUCAUCGUUUCCGGCACUGAUGUGAGCACAUCAUAAGCACAAGACCUGGACACCUUUACAAUCAGAGGUAGCAUCUGUCUGGAACUGUAUCUUGACUCUCACUGGUGCUUUUCCUUUGGUUGAUGCAAAGCUUUUGAAUCCUUUAGGGAGAUGUCAUUGGCCUAGGACUGGAGCUCUGGAUCUGACCGGAGCAAAGAGGAAGCACGCAAAUCCGGACAUGACGACGAGGAGGCAGUAGAGACCCAUCCUCAACUGUGCCCUUGUUGAGCUGCUUGAGGCAGAAGGCACAGACGAAGUGCUCGGGGUGGAACUUCUUGGCCAUGGCGGUGAUGCAGCGGCCGGUGAUGGGCUUCUGGCAGCCAGAACACAGCGAGCCGCGCCGCUCGUGGUAGUGCACCUCACAGUAGGGCUGCCCGUCGUGCUCGAAGAAGCUGCCGUUCACGAAUGGCGUGAAGCAUUCCUGCCAGGCGGAGAGAGGGGCUCAGGGAGCUGCCCCUCGGGCUAGAGCUGCACCCUGUGUGAUGGGGCCGAGGUGGGCAUAGUCGGCACGCUCGGAGUGACUCCUACUUGCUAGGCGUUUCCCAUGUGCCGUGUUGUCCUAAACGCUCAUUUUUCAUUUUUAUUUUAUUAAAUAAAUUUUUUUUGUAGAGA
rnacentral:lncRNA from 1 species